rnacentral:rRNA from 1 species
AGAGUUUGAUCCUGGCUCAGGAUGAACGCUGGCGGCGUGCUUAACACAUGCAAGUCGAGCGAGAAACUACAUGCAGACACUUCGGUAGAAGCGAGUAGCGGAAAGCGGCGGACGGGUGAGUAACGCGUAGGCAACCUGCCCUUCACAGAGGUAUAGCCUCGGGAAACCGGGAUUAAAACCACAUAAAAUCAUAGGUUCGCAUGAACCAAAGGUCAAAGAUUUAUCGGUGAAGGAUGGGUCUGCGUCUGAUUAGCUGGUUGGUAGGGUAAAAGCCUACCAAGGCGACGAUCAGUAGCCGACCUGAGAGGGUGAUCGGCCACAUUGGAACUGAGACACGGUCCAAACUCCUACGGGAGGCAGCAGUGGGGGAUAUUGCACAAUGGGGGAAACCCUGAUGCAGCAACGCCGCGUGAGGUAUGAAGGCCUUUGGGUUGUAAGCCUCUGACCUAGGGGAAGAAAAAAAUGACGGUACCCGAGGAGGAAGCCCCGGCUAACUACGUGCCAGCAGCCGCGGU